GCUGUAGCUCAGUGAUAGAGCAUCUGUUCAGGAUGAUCCCUGAUCCCUCUUCAGGAUCUGCAGGAGAGCCCAGAUCCAAUCCCUGGCAUCUCCA